rnacentral:rRNA from 1 species
CCUACGGGUGUCAGCAGUGGGGAAUAUUGGGCAAUGGGCGCAAGCCUGACCCAGCAACGCCGCGUGAAGGAAGCAGGCUUUCGGGUUGUAAACUUCUUUUGACAGGGAAGAGUAGCAGACGUUACCUGUCGCAUCAGCCACGGCUAACUACGUGCCAGCAGCCGCGGUAAUACGUAGGUGGCAAGCGUUGUCCGGAUUUCCUGGGGGUAAGGGGCGUGUAGCCGGGUUGACAAGUCAGAUGUGAACUCCUGCGGCGUAACCGCAGAACUGCAUUUGAAACUGUUGAUCUGGAGUACUGGAGAGGCAGACGGAAUGCCUAGUGGAGCGGGGAAAUGCGUAGAUAUUAGGAGGAACACCAGUGGCGAAGGCGGUCUGCUGGACAGCAACUGACGGUGAGGCGCGAAAGCGUGGGGAGCAAACAGGAUUAGAUACCCCAGUAGUC